GAACAGAGUGCAGCAUUGUAAGAAUUUGCAUAAGAUUAACUUGGCAGGAUUCUGAUAGUUCCUUGAUAUUUAAUUCUAGGCACAGUUUCUGUCCUAGAAUUUCUGUCUUCUGUCCUUGUAUAAACCUGGAAUUACGCGGAUGGAAUUCUCCUGUCUCUUCCACAUCAAUCCCUGCCAUAUCCAUCAAGAACUCUAUUCCUGGAAUUCUCUUCUUGAAUCAAAGGUUCACUGUUAAGGCAGCCAUGGCAGGAGAGGCGCUUUCCAGAGGAAGACAGACAGGGAGCUGGGCUGUGGCCUCUUUUUCAGCUUCUGGCAGCAAGUGCCUCUAUUAGCUUGGGGUUCUGGGAACUGCUUGGCUAAAGAGAAAACCCAAGAGGGGAAGCCUCGAAGAAAACUCAGCCUUUGUGUCCUUGCUCAGGAUGAUGCAUUGCUAGCACACGGCCAGUCGUAAAAGGAAGAAAUCAAACCCAAAUGUGGAGGUGAGUUUCUUCAUGCUUUAUUUGCUUUAUUUAAAGUAUGCUGUCAGGGUACUCUGACAAGCCAGGCCUCAUGGCCUCCCAUAGGAAAUCGUGUUUGGAAAGUGUUAUAAUGUCAGUGAGACUGCGCAUUGCGCAUACCCAACUUCUUUGUUAGGAAGAAGAAAUGAUCCAGGGUCUGAGACUGAAAAGCCCACUGGCCACAAGAAGCAGGACAGAGUAUAUGUCUUGAGACUUGUGUGUAAAAUGUGCAGAUUUGUACUUCCCUAGAAAGUUGCUCAGAGGAGAGACUUUCAGGAACCUUGCUAUAUUUUAUCAUAUUUUCUUAGAUGAUGUAAUAGAGUACUACUUGUCUUCUAUAUCUGAUUCCCAGUUCCUACGUGGCAAUAUUCAUGAACACCUGAAAUAAGGACUGGGUUCUCAGUCAUCCGUGAAGCGUAUAGCGGCUGUUGGACUAAUUCCAGUUCUUACCAAGUGAGGAGAAGUGAGUUCUAGGAACAGUUCUUUGAAAGUUCUCUCAGAAUGAUUCCUUGCAGGGCAGUGUUGACUUUUGCCCGAUGUCUGAUCCGGAGAAAAAUAGUCACUUUGGACAGUCUAGAAGAUUCCAAGCUGUGCCGCUGUUUGACCACCAUGGACCUCAUCGCCCUCGGGGUCGGGAGCACUCUGGGUGCCGGGGUUUAUGUGCUCGCUGGGGAAGUCGCCAAAGCGGAUUCCGGGCCGAGUAUCGUGCUGUCCUUCCUCAUCGCCGCCCUGGCAUCUGUGAUGGCCGGCCUUUGCUAUGCCGAGUUCGGUGCCCGAGUUCCCAAGACGGGCUCCGCCUAUUUGUACACGUAUGUUACGGUCGGCGAGCUGUGGGCCUUCAUCACCGGCUGGAAUCUCAUUUUAUCCUAUGUGAUAGGUACGUCAAGUGUUGCAAGAGCGUGGAGUGGCACUUUUGAUGAACUUCUUAACAAACAGAUUGGUCAGUUUUUCAGGACAUAUUUCAAAAUGAAUUAUACCGGCCUUGCAGAAUAUCCAGACUUUUUUGCUGUGUGCCUUAUAUUACUUUUAGCAGGUCUUUUAUCUUUUGGAGUAAAAGAAUCUGCUUGGGUGAACAAAUUCUUCACAGCUAUUAAUAUUCUGGUCCUUCUCUUUGUAAUGAUUGCUGGGUUUGUGAAAGGAAAUGUGGGUAACUGGAAGAUUAGUGAAGAGUUUCUCAAAAAUAUAUCUGCCAGUGCCAGGGAGCCACCUUCUGAAAACGGGACAAGUAUCUAUGGAGCUGGUGGCUUUAUGCCUUAUGGCUUUGCAGGAACAUUGGCUGGUGCUGCGACUUGCUUUUAUGCCUUUGUGGGGUUUGACUGCAUUGCAACAACUGGUGAAGAAGUUCGGAAUCCCCAGAAAGCUAUUCCUAUUGGCAUAGUGACUUCUUUACUUGUUUGCUUUAUGGCCUAUUUUGGGGUCUCUGCAGCUUUGACACUUAUGAUGCCAUACUACCUCCUCAAUGAGAAAAGUCCCCUUCCUGUGGCAUUUGAGUAUGUUGGAUGGGGUCCUGCCAAGUACGUGGUUGCUGCAGGCUCCCUAUGUGCAUUGUCAACAAGUCUUCUUGGAUCCAUUUUCCCAAUGCCUCGGGUAAUCUAUGCUAUGGCGGAGGAUGGGUUGCUUUUCAAAUGUCUAGCUCAAAUCAAUUCCAAAACGAAGACACCAGUAAUUGCUACUUUAUCAUCCGGUGCAGUGGCAGCUGUGAUGGCAUUUCUUUUCGACCUGAAGGCACUGGUGGACAUGAUGUCUAUAGGAACCCUCAUGGCUUAUUCUCUGGUUGCAGCCUGCGUGCUCAUCCUUCGGUACCAGCCUGGUUUAUGUUAUGAGCAACCUAAAUACUCCCCUGAAAAAGAAGGCCCGGGACCAUGUGACAGUGCAGCUUCAAAAAGUGACUCCCAGGUCACCAUGCUGCAAGAUCAGGGCUUCCACCUGAGAGCCCUCCUCAACCCCUCAGCCCUGCCUACGCCACAGUCAGCUUCACUCGUGAGCUUUCUGGUGGGAUUUCUGGCAUUUCUCGUGUUGGGCCUGAGUAUUCUGACCACUUAUGGAGUCCAGGCGAUUGCCCGGCUAGAGGCCUGGAGUCUUGUUCUUCUCGUACUACUGCUUGUUCUCUGUAUCACCAUCGUCCUCAUGCUUUGGAGGCAGCCACAGAAUCAGCAAAAAGUAGCCUUCAUGGUUCCAUGUUUACCAUUUUUGCCAGCAUUGAGCAUCCUGGUGAACGUUUACCUGAUGGUCCAGCUAAGUGCAGAUACCUGGGUCAGGUUCAGCAUUUGGAUGGCACUUGGUUUCCUGAUUUAUUUUGCUUAUGGCAUUAGACACAGCCUGGAAGGUAACCCAAGUGAUGAAGAUGAUGAUGACGAUGCUUAUGUAGACAACAUUAAUGCAGCAACAGAAGAAAAGUCUGCCAUUCGAGCAAGUGACCACCACCAACGAAAUCUCAGUUUACCUUUCAUAUUUCAUGAAAAGACAAGCGAAUGCUAAUGCGUGCAAGAACCGAUCUGAUCUAGUCUUACAUUGCCCACGCUGAGUGAACUCUGAGAGGAGGUUGUCAUCAGGGUUCAUUGUCAGUGGGUUGCUGCAUGCAUAGUUCACCCUAAUUUAUACUUUUUUGUUUGGACCACAUGUCCUUAGAUGGUGAAUUAUAUGCCCAGGGGAACCUCCCAGUUCUCCCUCAGUGAUAAAUAUCCCCAAAUAGUAUGAAAGAGAGAGAGAGAGAGAGAGAGAGAGAGAUGUGCGCCAGAAUUUUUUUAAUGUAUAUACACUCUUUUAGUUAUGAUUGAAUAAAAAGCUUAUAGUACUUUUCUUUUUUGACACGAGUCAGUUUCCAUGCAAGGUUCUUGUAAUAGCAUUCUCUGAAGAAGAAUUUGUGAAUUACCAUAUAAAGGCAAUGCCAACCUUACAUUUAUGGAGAUAGCUAUGUACACUCAAGCCUAAAAUCUAUUUAGAAAAACUUAGUAGAGCCUUUAAUAUUUACUAAAAUAUGGAUCGUUACAUUUCCCUCAAGGUAAACACAAUCAACAAAACUAAAACUAAAAUGUAACUUUAUAUAUGUAUCAGUUGAUAUAUAAAACUAAUAUUGAAACUAACAUUGAUAUAUUACCAACCCCAGUUGAUAGAAAAUACCUGUUCCCAAAUUACUUUCCUUUUAAAGGAUAAGAAUUUAUCUGCUUUCAAUUUUAAUGAGAUUUUUUUACUUCUUGAAAAAGUAUUAGCGAAAAUAUUCUUCAAGUCCUGCUUGUUUUUAGGUAGUUGAUUUAAAAGAAAUUUUCAGUAAGAACUGAAGUGGAAUUCAUUCUUACCAAACUAUUUUCUAAAAUGAUUUGAAUACUUAGAAAAGAAAGAAAAGUAAUUGCCCUCCACUACUCAUAGUGACUAAUGGUGACUUCUAUUAAAGCAGUGUUAUAAGUAAAUGCUUUGUUAUCAUUUUUUAAAUCAUGUCAUAUUCCAAAAUUACAAAACAGAUAAUGAGUAGCACUAAGAUUCCAGCUCUCUAUCACUUUCAAAGUUACUCAGUGAUGACUCCUGAAAUAUUCAAGUAACAGACUUAAAAUAAAAACUUCCCAGGACAAUAGUGGCUCACACCUAUAAUCCUGACUGCUCAGGAAGCUGAGAUCUAAGGAUCAUGGUUCAAAACCAGCUGGGGCAAGAAAGUUCGUGAAACUUGUAAUCUCCAGCAAACUAGCAAAAGGCAGGAAGGGGAGCUGUGGCUCAAGUGGUAGGUCACUAGCUUUGAGCAAAAGAAGCUCAGGAAUAGCACCCAAGUCCUGAAUUUAAGACCCAGGGCCAGCACAAAUAAAUAAAUUUUCUUUUGGACUUUAAAAGAUGAAGUUAGAGGUACAUCAUGAACUAUUAAACUUCACAUAAUUGGUGUGGUGAUUUGGGGUGGGAUGAGGGAAGUUGACUAUCCUUUUUUGCUAAUGCCAAACAGUUCCUUUUUCUAUAUAUUAUCUACUUCAUGAAAUUCUCUUACAUUUUCUUAUGUAUCAAGGGGAAAAUGCUGACAUUUCUAUAGUAAAUAGUGGCAGCAAUGAUAAUUUUUUGUCAUAUAGAUGUGAAAAUAUUAUCUUUGUAUUUAGCUGAUUUUUUCUU